rnacentral:rRNA from 1 species
UACGGGAGGCAGCAGUGGGGGAAUAUUGCACAAUGGGCGCAAGCCUGAUGCAGCCAUGCCGCGUGUAUGAAGAAGGCCUUCGGGUUGUAAAGUACUUUCAGUCGUGAGGAAGGUGUUAAGGUUAAUAACCUUAGCAAUUGACGUUAGCGACAGAAGAAGCACCGGCUAACUCCGUGCCAGCAGCCGCGGUAAUACGGAGGGUGCGAGCGUUAAUCGGAAUUACUGGGCGUAAAGGGCACGCAGGCGGUUAAUUAAGUUGGAUGUGAAAUCCCCGGGCUUAACCUGGGAAUGGCAUUCAAGACUGGUUAGCUAGAGUCUUGUAGAGGGGGUUAGAAUUCCAUGUGUAGCGGUGAAAUGCGUAGAGAUGUGGAGGAAUACCGGUGGCGAAGGCGGCCCCUGGACAAAGGCUGACGCUCAUGUGCGAAAGCUGGGGAGCAAACAGGGAUUAGAUACC